GGUAAGAUGGUGUGAUUGGUAAUCACAUCAGUCUAACACACUGGUGGUCCCCUGUUCGAGCCCGGGUGAAAUUU